GUUUUGCAGUGUCAUGGUUAAUUCUCGAGUUUACCAAAAACAAAAAAAUAGCAAAAAUUAUUGUGGUGCAUAAGGUUAGUUUACCAAAAAUAAAGAAAAUAGCAAAAAUUAGUGUAGUGCAUAAGGAUCGAACCUGCCACCUUUUGAAGACAAGGAAGUGAGCAAACCAACAAGAUAAGUAUGUAUGCUUGUCUCAAUUUAAAAUCCCAUUCCUGAUUUUAUCAAAAAGGAAAGAAACCAGCAAAAUCUUUGUCUCAAGCAUGAAUCGACCUUGAGACCUCUUACAAGCAAUUAUUAAGUCAUUACACCACAACAGUCCUCUCUUUGU
rnacentral:lncRNA from 1 species